UCAGGUCUCAUUAGAAGUAGCUGAAAUUGUUGGUAGAGCUUUAGCGCCAUCAUCACUUCCUAUCCUGGGCUUACCUCAUGCUGAAAUUAUCAUCUCAGACCAUCUAGGCUUUGAAGAUUCAAGUGAAUCCUGCGAAAUGAUCAUUCCUGAAUCACAAGGAAGCAGGAGGUGAAGAAAUUGCCAAAAUGGAGAUACGUUCUUAUUAGAAGCAGCUGGGGAACCGGCCGUACUGUCCAAUGUUUUUUGGAACAAAACUAUACUGUACCACUUGAAGUGCUCUGAUUCUUUUGAGUUGAUUUUGAAAAUCAGAAAACAACUUAUGAAGUUUGAUCAUCAAUGGAUAUUCCUUUCAUCUCGACUCUUCUACUCGUCAUCUUCCAUCUCCUCUUCAGUGCAGACUCCAAUGGUGAGAUGGAAAACACAAUGAACAAUAAAUAUUCAUAUUUUAGAUAAGACAACAUAAUGCUUAAAAAUAUGUAUUGAUAUAUUUUACAUAUUAUGAUAUGGGUAUUCAAGUAUUCUAUUCAGAAAGUAUCACUCUUCAACUGUUUAUUAGUCUCUUUCAAAUCUUUCAAAAAUGUUGGUCAAACAUAUGUAUUGUCGCUUUAGGUUUCUUCUGCAUAUUUCAAUUUUAUUCUCAUUUUCCUCCUGUGUGUGUAUUGGACAAUCACAGCAACUUAACUCAAAAAUAAGGGACGACUAUAUUGUAAAUGACGAGUCUCUUCGAAUCAUACGUUCAGUUUAGUCUUAUCAAUUACAAUAUGUCAGUCAAAUUCAAUCUUAUCAAUUAUAAUUAAUUAGUUGUUAUUCAAACUUAGAAAUUCUAUAUAUUUCUUUUCAAAAUUUGACUCAAAUACUUCAAUUUUAUCAGUUCAUGCAACUAACGUCAAGGUAUGAUCCUUUCAAUAUCACCUUAAAUUCUAUCAACUAGUCAACAAGAGAAACACAAUAUCCAGGGGCGUAGUCUCAAAACGUACCUAGGGCAAGCUCUUUUGGCAAUUUAAUCUACACCCUCCCAUUCAAAAAAUUAUCUUCGAAUAAUAAUAGUAAAGCCCUCAAUUUCACGAGUCAUUGGCUUUGAAUCUUAAAGGAAUCUAAUAACUUCCCAAAAGUAUUAAUUCUAAACUAAAAUUCUCACCUUGGAUCUAUCUGUACAGUAAGUCAGACCUCAUUCCUCUCUUGAAAAAUGCUUCAAUUACUUCGGAGUAGAAAGAAGUCUCCUUGAUUUUGACUGUGUGGUAGCUCAGUCAAUUCAGGACUAGGUGGAUCUUGAUAAUUGGUUUCUUUUCCUUUUCAGAGCUUAGAAAAUCCUCUUUGGAGAAGCAGUUGAUAAUUAUUUUCUUCGAAAUAAAAUUUCUCUAUGCUUGGCCAAAGCCGGGUUGAUAGAUUUCACAUAUUUUUCACUCUUUAUAUAUUAUUACACAAUGUGGCAAUGUGAAUAAGUAACACUAAUUUGGAUGAUUGUUCAACUCUCAGGGAAAUCUGCGUCAAUGUGACUGGAUUUAUCGAAGACAAACACAAUUGAAACGACAAGAGCUGUUCUUGAAAUAACAAAUUAUUUUAUCAAUGAAUGAAUCUACAACACAAAAUACAUUUCAAUUUAUCACAAGCAUAAAAUGCUAUAAAUCAGUAUGUUCGGCAGCUGAAUUUGGCAGAGAAACAGAAAAAUAAAAGGAACUGAAACUCUAGAGUUUGAAAAACGUUGGCUGGUACACUAGAUACUAGUGAGAUAGCAGGAGUCAGUGGUGUCACUAGCUUGAGACACCAAUGAUGUCCCAGCAGUGUUCGGGCUGGUGGCCCGAGUGAGAUACCAGUGGCCAAAUACCAAAAAUAAUUGGUCUCUUAACCAGUGUAGAGAGCGCAAUAAAAUCUAAUGCCCUGCGACUUGCUUCAAUACUUUGGUUUCCCACUGGUGACCUGUUAUCCUACGGUAAUGCGGACGUAAUUAUUGUAAUAUUAUUUAUUUAUUUACUUAUCAUAUUGUGUACAAAUACUUAACAUGAGGAAAGGCACAACAGGCUCAUGCCCAAAACUGUCUCAUUUCCAAUUUAUACUAUACUGGAAUGCCAGGAAUGCUGAAAUUUAUGUAUUAGAAUGCCAGGUUUUUUACUUGCCAGACAGGUUAGCUGAGACGACUGAGGCGUUGCACCCUCAAGUCUGCUAGCGCUACCUGGUCGUGAGUUCGAAUACCGCCUAACUAUAAGACUCUAUAGGCUCUAAUAUUGACUCUAUAAGCACUAGUUUUAAAACAAUGAAAAGCCUCACUAUGUAACUAUAUCGCUAUGUAAUUAUAUUGUGCAACUGGGCCUUGAAAUACUUUCAGAAUUUUGUCUCAAAGUGUAUCUGUAAUCCACAUGUAAUCCCCACUUGGUAGAUUAUAUAGGGGGCAUCUCAAUUCUGUUGAAAAGUGGAACAGAGGUAAACCAAUUGUCUGUUGUCAGGUUACGAUUAGUUCCAUGGAUUGGCUCUGAUAGUUUCCUAACAUAAUAUGUAGGAAACAUAAUAUGUUUCCCAACAUAACAUAUAUUUCCCAACAUAAUACAGGUUCCUUGUUUUGUGUAUUUACUUCUCCAAUGUAUAGAAUUGCAUUACACAUGUAACUGGUCUUAGAAUCGUUCAACAUUACUGUUUUCAAGCCAUAUCUGUCAGGUUUAGAUUUGAUAUACACUGAAGCCACAGCGACCUCGAAAACCUAGUAGCUGCUCAUCAAUGGUGCAGUAUUCGAAUGGUGUAUAAUAUGAACGACAAUGUUCCACAAAAUUGUCCCACAAAUAUCGUAUUACAGUCAAACGAUCGUUUCUUGCUCUCUCCUGCCUACUGGUUUUGUCAUCAAAGCGCAAGCACGUACUUAUCAAGUGAAAUCGUGGCAAGGACAUGGUAGCUCUAUAAAUCGAGAAUCCUAACUGAGGUGACCAAAGUUCUUCUAAAUUUCUUCUUGAAUCUUUGUGCGUACUAGCCGAGUACAAGAUGCCUAUGUAAGCUUUCAUUUCUUUUAUAGAAGUAUUGCGAUGGUAAGACUGCCUUGAAAUGUUACGCACCUGUCUGUUUAUCUCUUCAUUUGUCCGAAGGGUUAUUUCUUCUAUCAUGAUAUCAUCAAAAAGAAGGUUCCAAGCAUCUUAGGGGGCUCUCACUUCUCGAGCUGCACCUCUUGGACCAGGCAAAUAUGUUUCUAGGUUUCUUUCAGCAACUCUCCCACGUCGUUCUGGCUCCUUUAUGGUCCAAAUAUAGGGUGUCUUUUUAUUUCUUCCCCUAAUCAAAUGAAUAUUUCUUCGAUGUCUCUCAAUUGGAUUGCUGGAUUAUGGAUUUUGUUCAUUUUCGAUAUCAACAGACUCAUCAAUAUCCAGCACAUUGUCACAUUCACUAGGCAAAUUAUCAGGCUCAUUAACAUUAGGUUCACUCACAUUCAGUACAUCACCAGAUUCAUUCAACAUUUCGAUGGCAUCUUGUUCAUCAUUUGAUAUAACAUAAUCCGGAUCCGAAUCCGUGUUAUCACCGAACAUGCUCUCUGGAUCGUCUUCAUCACUUUCUUCUAAGAAAGCACGAAUUAAAUCAGGCCUAUCUCGAAGAUUGUGUGCCAUUGUGUACCAAAAAAAUGAAGAAACUAACAAACAUAAAAACAAUCACCACUUGAAAAAGACACACAUAAACAUAACACUGGGGUUCAGCAGACCCCACAACACUUUAAUAACUCUCUAGACUGGACAGAAGCAGACUGACAUUCGGUGUCAACAGUGCAAGCCGACAGUGCAAGUAGUACCAACUGAAUUUACAUUUGAGUGAAAUAUCCUUAUCUUCGGUUUAUGCAGAGAAAUAACUAAAAAAGAAAGGCUGGGGUCCAGCAGACCACAGUGUUAUAUUUAAAUGUUAACUUGAGUGUGUUGAACUGUCGUCUGCUUUGAACUAGCCGGCCGGUUCAAGUUGUCUGCUGAGAUACAAUCUUAAUCAGCUGUUUGCGCUUAAUCUUAUUGACGUAACCACGUUUGGUGUCUACUGCCUUUGACAAUCCUUAUCGCCUCUUGAGAUAAGCACCCUGCAUUCAUCGUUUCUCAUUUUUUAUCUGCUUCAACAGUAGCCCUAACUCUUUCGCAUCGAGUAUGGUUUUCUGAUUUUCCUUCCUCAAUUCGUAUUUCCCUUCCCAAAUCCUUUUCAACUUUAGGAGCUUCCAAAUUUUCCGCUUGCUUUGACAGCUCUCAUAGCAUUUUCUUCAUGUCUUCUUCCUCAUCAAUUACAAUCAUUUUACAUUCAACAAUAUGAGUAAAAAAGUAACUUUGUGGUAAAUGUAGAAAAAAUGUCAAUAAAUGUAAUAAAGCCGUACUUUGCAGUGGAAACUGCUCGCAGUGGUUCCACUUAAAAAAUGCUCUUCUCUAACUAAUGAUGAGUACGAACUAAUCAGGGUGAAAAAAGGGUGAAAUGGUAUGGUCUUGUAUUGAGUGUAAAGGAGUGGAAACAAAUGCGAAUACUGAUAACAACUGAAAAUCGAACUCAUGCUGUUCUACUUCUGAUGAUGAGCAAAAUGAGGAUUUAAAUGUAGAAUUGAAUAGUAAUACAUUGUAGUGAAUGCUGUUAAUCAGUGUGGAUGCGACAGGCACACUGCCCAAAACCGCACUCCACACAAAAUAAUAAAGAAUAAUAAGAAAACAAAAACAACUUAUACAGAACAAACUUCAGAAUUACAUGCUAAAUCUUAAAAUAAAAUACUAAUUAUUUAUAUCAUUAAAUGCUAUUCGUAUUGUACAAUAUAAAUAAUUUUAAUUAAAAUAAGAAAAUAAGUUUAAUUGAAAUAAGAAUAGAGAGAAUAAGUUCAAUAUAAAUGAAAAAAAGUCGACCAUUUAAAUUUAAACUAAACAAAAUUAAAAAGAAAAAAAAUAAAACAGAGAAGAAGUAAGGUAAAGACAUAUAUUUAUAGAUAGAUAGCAGAAGAAGAGAGGAGAGAGAGUGCUUGAAGUUAAACAUUGACAAAAGAACUAAUAUUCAAGUAUUAUAGAGCAUGAUUUAAUAAAGGCAUUCAAAGACGGAUUGAAGAGAUCGAUAUCACGAGAUACUGUGUUGAAGAGUCUCAUGGAUCGAUUGAUGGGUGAGUUAUAAUCCUGCAACGUUCGAGAUCUUGGUAUAAAAAACGAAAAAUACCUCCCACGAGAAACAGUCGGCACAUAGAAGCCCAAUCUUUCCAGGUGAAAAGGAUGCUGCGUAAGACCAUUAACUACUUUAUAUAAAUGUAAGAUGGCUUGGAGAUUACGUCUGGAUUUCAAUGUUGGAAUUUUGAACAUGAUUCUGAGUUGUGAUGUGGGAUAUGCAAAAUAGGGAUAGUGGCCAAACUUUUUAAAAUACAGGUAGCGAAGGAAUUUAUUUUGAACUUUUUCAAGAGAAUCAGAAUAUUCAGCAUGAUAAGGAUCCCAAAUAAUUGAGGCAUAUUCCAAUCUACUCCUUACCAACGACUUGUACAGAUAUAUUAUAGUAUCUAAAUUACUGAAGUGUUUGCAAGUUCUAAUAACAAAGCCCAACAGUCGAUUAGAAACAUUUAAAAUGUGUUCAAUAUGAGAGAUGAAUCUGAAAUCAUUUUGAAAAUAGACUCCUAAAUCCUUACACGAUAUUUUGAUUGGAAGAGCAGAACCAUUCAUCGUGUAAGAGUAAUUAAAAGGAAGAUUCUGUCUUGAACAUGUCAUUAUGUGUGAUUUAUUAACAUUAAUUUUUAAACCAUUCACAGAGCUCCAUGUGGUAAUCUCAUUAAUAUCCUCUUGUAAUGUAUCACAAUCAUUUACACCGGUAAUAGUUUUAUAUAUCUUAACAUCGGCAAAUAAAAGACAUUUAGAGUUUUUUAAUACAUCAGGUAGAUCGUUGAUCAUGAUGAGGAAUAAAAGAGGACCCAAUGAUGUACCUUGAGGGACACCAGAUACGUUUGCAUAUAGAUCAGAAUCACAACCAUCAUAUGACACAAAUUGUUUCCUGUCCUUCAGAUAAGAUGCUAUAAAUCCUACAGUAGAAUUCGAGAAAUUAUAGGCCAGUAGUUUGUGUAGUAGAACAUCAUGAUUUACAAGGUCAAAAGCCUUUCGGAAAUCAAUGUAUACAACAUCAACCCUCCCAGAAGACUCCAGACCAUGCAAAACAUCACAUGAAAAUUCAAUUAAAUUUGUAGUAGUCGACUUACCAGGUAAAAAGCCGUGUUGCUGUUUAUUGAAACUGUUUAACAUGUGCUUGUAAAUAGAAUCGAAAAUGAUACUUUCAAAAAUCUUUGAAAAAACAUUUGUCAAGCUUAUUGGUCUAAAAUUAGCAAUGUCUUGCAUGUUGCCAGACUUUAAUAUUGGUGAGACCCUAGCGAGCUUCCAUUCAUUCGGGAAAACACCUAGUUUUAGAGAUAAAUUAAAAAUGAAGCAAAGAUUAAAGGACAAAAGAUCGCAGCAUCCCUUCACCAGGAAAGGCGGAAUACCAUCAGGACCAAACGAUGCCCUAGGCUUAAGUAACUUGAUAGCUUUCUCAACAUUUUCGAUGGAAACAGUCCUUAAAUUUAAAAUAUUCUGAUCAGACACAACCGGUGAGUUUAUGGCAGAAGGAACCAUUGAACCAUCAUAUAUACUGAGGCAAAGUGAUUGGCGAAACCAUUCGCAAUAUCCACCCCACUCUCGAA